UUAGACAUGAAAGGGUAGAGAGAGGGGGAACGACAUGCAGCAAACGGCCGCAGGUCGGAAUCGAACCCGCGGCCGCUACGAGGACAGAGCCUCCGUACAGGGGCGCCCGCGAGCCACCCAGGGCAAAUUACAUCGACUGAGGAUGAUAUGAUCGAAAGCUCCAGAACAACUACCAAAUGGACCUUGAGCACUCUGCAUCAGCUGGAGGCAUGACAACACCAUCUGUAUCAGAAAUGCAGGAGAAGAACAGAAACUACGCAUAAAUGUUGUAAAGAGGCUUUACUCCAGAAGAUACGGUCCAAG